rnacentral:rRNA from 1 species
AGUUUGUAUACCGCUGUUGUCAGUCAGUUUCUUUAGAAAGCUUUCUAUCAUGAAAAAAUCAUAGACUUCAAGUAAAGGUGCAGCUUAUGUAAAAGAUAGAGGUGGGUUACAUUUAUUAGAUUAAAACGGAUAAAGUUUAUGAAAUAACUUUUAAAGGUGGAUUUAAUUGUAAGGUUUAAGAAAACUUGAUGUGAGCUCUAUCUUGUGUACAC